rnacentral:rRNA from 1 species
UACGGAGGGUGCGAGCGUUAAUCGGAAUUACUGGGCGUAAAGGGUGCGUAGGUGGUUUAGUAAGAUACCUGUAAAAUUCCUGGGCUUAACCUGGGAAGGUCAGGUAAGACUGCUGGACUGGAGUAUGGGAGAGGGUAGUGGAAUUUCCGGUGUAGCGGUGAAAUGCGUAGAGAUCGGAAGGAACACCAGUGGCGAAGGCGGCUACCUGGCCUGAUACUGACACUGGAGGCACGAAAGCGUGGGGAGCAAACAGG